CCGGGCUUGGAUCACGAACGGCAACGGCGGCUUCCUCUGUCCCCUAUCAUCUCCUACCUCAUGUACUCCUCCUCAACCUCUUGUAGCUCAGCUUGAUCUUCCUGUAAUGGAGUAAUUCGAGUGAUUCGUAAGUGGGUACCUAACAUCGUGGCAUCAGAGCCUCCUUCCAUCCUUCCGAUUCGCCACAAAUUUUCCCGAGUUCGUCCAAUUUUUGCUCAAUUUUUUUUCUGAGUUCAUCAAUUUCUUUCACCACCAUGCAUGCGGAGCUGAAGGCCUACUUGGUCGAUUACCAUGCGCGGACCAUGGCGCGCUACGACACCGUGGACAAGCAGCACGCGCGGAUGUUGAAGAUCCUCACGGGCGUCUCGACCCCGCAGCUGGCUUGCCCCAUGGGAACGGCAGCCGAUGGCGGCCUCACCGACAACGCCAGAGCCCCGCGGUCGUCCACGACGUCUUCUCCUCCACCACCAAGGCCCAGGAGACCUUGGAGCUCACCCCCGGCGCGUCCCCUGCUUCCAUCAAGAUGGUGCCGGUCACCUGUUCGACGGAAUGUUCGACCCAGGUCAUCACUGUCACCCAUGUCGACGAGGUCCACGACGCCACCACAACCCUGCGCCCCGAGCGCGCAGUCGACAUCAACGACAAGGAGGUCGAGAAGCUCAUACCCGCGUGGGCACCACCCACCAUCAGCACCGACACCUCUCUCAACAAGGAGUUCGUUCCUCCAGUGGCGACCACCAGCAACAUCGACCCCAAGGCCGUCGUACAGGAGUUGGAUACCUCACCACUACCCUCCAUCGACACCUCCACCCCGGUCGUGAGCGAUAGGGAGCACGGCGUCCUUCUCGUCGUCUCCAGCAACCUCGCUGCACCAGCGCUGACCAUGCACUGGGCAGACUGCCCUGUCCCUGCAGGCGACUGGGUGAAGCCUCUUACUGCCACCAUCAACAGUGCCGACGAGACACAUGACACUGCCAUCGCCGAGCGUCUGCACCUGUCUUCCUUCGAACAUCAACCAUGGCUACCCACUGUACAAGUGCAGUUCUAUCACAUGGGACCCCUCUUCAGGCCUAGUCCGUGGUCGUCGUUCCGACCUCUGUCAGUCGCAAGCUACUUGGAAGAACCAUGUUCACGUAUCCAUAGUCAAUCACGUGGAGGUUCCUGCUUCAGUCCUUGUCUAAUUCGAUUGACAAUCAGAGAUGUUCCUCGGGACGACCCUAUUAAUGGAACCGAUUCAGACAGGACUUGCACCAAUGGAAUUCAACAUAAAGUGCCUGAAAGUAUUAGUACAAUUGGACCGCUUGCAGUUGCACGCUCAACUGAACAAGAAGCUUGCCUUGAGGAGUACCAGGAUGCAUCUUCUUUUCUUCAUCAAUCAGAUCCAGGAGAUGGUAUAGCAGUCGCAUGUGAGUCAGAUGUUUCUGCGAACCUCAAGAGUUUGGAUAAAGGCUCAGUGGGUUCGUUUGGUUAUCGGAAUGAUCUUGUUGUUACAGUCGACGACAUGCUCAAGUCCACUUCUGAAGAUAACUACAGUACACGCAUUUUAAUACAGGACAGUGCAUGGCAUGUUUCCUAUGAGGCUUUUUACUUUCAGUAUAAUGAGAGGGAUCCCAAUUCAGCCUUAAACUGGUUUGCUCAUGCCAAAACCACUCACGACACCCAUCAUGCUACCGUGGUUGAAUAUGUUAUCCAUAUGGUGAGAACUUUGUUGAUUAUGAUUGAGCUGGAGCAGUGCACUAACCCAGGCUUAUUUGUUAAAUGGGUUGUCGAGUCUGGGAGCAGCAAAAACAGCAAGGUUGUUUGGCAAACAUACGGAAUAUUUCUGGAGAGAGUGUGUUAUGGGGGCCCUGAUUAUGCCAUUUCUAUUUAAUCUCAUGAGUAACUUGUGCUCAGCAGGAGGUAUCAUGUUCACCUCGUGUGAUUCUUUUAAUUUUUUGAGAAAGGAUGAUCACCUUAACAGUCAGGAGAGCACCACGACUACCUCUGCUUUGACAUUAAACACUUCCAUUCAGUUCAUGUUCUCUGUGAGAGUUGAGCGCUUGGCCCCCCUGUGCGAUAACGUGCAUUCAUCUAGUGACCAAGCUGCAGAAAAUGGUACUGACAAGAGAAAAGUUCUGCUGACUACUCCAUAUGAGGUAUGGCUUACCAAGCUACGACCAAGACCAUGGCCAUGGUUCGAGUUUACUCCGGAGACCAUUCAACCUAGGCUAGACUUGGUUUCACUUUCAGGUCAUUGCCGCAAAACUUGUGUGGUGUUCGAGCAAUGCUUUUGUAGUCAGCUCUAUUUACGAAUUGAACACUUGAGGCUCACGUGUGAUGAAUUACCCAAUACUCCUGGAAUGGUCAGCUUGGAAUUCACUGUCUUUGCUAUGUAUCUGGCUUUGCUGCUACUCGCUUCUACUGAUAUCAAUCACACCGGAUUCUCCCGCUCAAGCACAACUGUUACAAACCUGAAGCUGCAGCUGAUUGCCUUUUCAGAUGAGUGGAAACUCCUAAAGCCUAAUUUCGUUCAAGCUAAUUUUGUCCCCUGUUCGGAUGCAUUUCUCACUGGGAACCAAUUCAUGGUGGUUGUUGAACUGUUGUUGCAUCCUGUUGGGCAGAUAAGUGACAGGGUUCAAAGGUGGAGAAGCCAAUAUCAUACAAGGGAGAGCAACAAAAUCACUUACAACUAUGGCAUAUGCGUUGGCAUCCUAGUGGUAAGGAGUGGCCUCAUUCCGAUUGAAUUGGAACUACUUAUUCCACAACCAGGAGAGCAUUUGGCCUUGUUGCAACCCAAACCUCCAUGGUCACCUCUUGUCUCACCACAAUUUUCUACAGAAUGCAGCAGCAAUAUGCGAACUAAUUCAGAGUUUCUUCAGCUCACUGGAGCUCUUUGGGAAUUGACUCAAUCUUGGACCUUUACUGAUCAUUGCAGUACCUUGUCAAGCUAUUGGUGGUGCUUCUCUUGGGGGCCAGAUGCAGGUCUCACUACUACUCUGUUUUGGUUAGCCCAUAACAGCACCAGGAAACUACAAGAGAUGCCAUGUAUUUCUGGGAGCUCUAGUACCUGUGCUCGCUUGCAUGCAAUGAGAUCCAUAACUGAAGAUUAUCCCAUAGCUUUUAUCAUGUGGCAGUUCAUACAAUCAGUUGAACAUGCAACUUCUUGCGAGCAGUGGGGCCCGGGAGGAUUGCAUUUUGCGGAGCUAGAAGAGAACGAGCACCGGCUUGGGGGCAAGCCAGUUGUUAAGGAGGAGGGGAUGUCAGCGACCCAAAUACGGCCACAGUUGCGUCGAUCAGUUGGUAGCCCAAACUGCUGCCACGACAGGCGAAGCAACAAGCCCACCAAGUGAUCAGCACAUGGGCCGGGCCUGGUUGGGCGCCACUCCAGGGCAAGGCAGACUACAAAUAUCCACGGGAGGUGCAGCGAAGAGUCAUCCGGGCUUGGAUCACGAACGGCAACGGCGGCUUCCUCUUUCCCCUAUCAUCUCCUACCUCUUGUACUCCUCCUCAACCUCUUGUAGCUCAGCUUGAUCUUCCUGUAAUGGAGUAAUUCGAGUGAUUCGUAAGUGGGUACCUAACACGGCGGCUGCUCGGGAUGAACACACGAUAUGCUUUUUUUAAAAUUACGAAACAGGUGGG
rnacentral:rRNA from 1 species